rnacentral:tRNA from 1 species
CGAGAAGUAGCACAGCUUGGUAGUGCAUCACGCUUGGGACGUGGGGGUCGCAGGUUCGAAUCCUGUCUUCUCGACCA